UACGGGGGGGGCAAGCGUUGUUCGGAAUUACUGGGCGUAAAGGGCUCGUAGGUGGCCAACUAAGUCGGACGUGAAAUCCCUCGGCUUAACCGGGGAACUGCGACUGAUACUGGAUGGCUUGAGUUCGGGAGAGGGAUGCGGAAUUCCAGGUGUAGCGGUGAAAUGCGUAGAUAUCUGGAGGAACACCUGUGGCGAAGGCGGCUCCCUGGACCGACACUGACGCUGAGGAGCGAAAGCCAGGGGAGCAAACGGG
rnacentral:rRNA from 1 species